rnacentral:lncRNA from 1 species
GAAUCGGAGCUAUGGAACAAAUGGAUAAAAGAACAUUGAGUUUUGUUUUUGUUUUUAACUUUCUUGUUACACAAUAUCACCAAACAUCAUUUGAUUCAAAUCUCAAUUUCUUUGGUCACCAGAAAGUAUUGAACUUGUGUUUUAAUGUUGCUUUACAAGUUAGAUGUUCAUUUCUGAAAAUUCAAUGCAGGGUGUUUGCCAUCUUCUUACAAAUAUCGGAAUGUAUUGCAAAGAAACUCUUUCAAGUUGUCCUUAUGGAGCAUCUGAAUUAGAUGAUACCAGGAAUGAUUUGGAGACAUUGCCAGAAUAUGAAAGUAUGGACCUGGAGAAUCUUGUUUUUGAAAAGGUUAGUGAAGAAAUUGAAGCAAGAAAAAGGACCGCUCAGAGCAUCCCUUUUCAUUUUCAUGUGCCCGAAGCACUUUCUGGAUUGGUUGAAGGUACAGGCACAUGUUUACUCAUUGGCUUGUUAGAUGAAAAACAACUUGGAAAAUUAAAUAAACCAUGUAUAUAAUAAAUGAUCACAUUUUUUUUUCUUAGACCAUUUGAUUAAUUUUCUUGAGAGAUUAAAAUCUAUGUAUCAUCUUUUGUUUCCAUCAUUAAUUCCUUCGUUUUAUAGUGGGGAAUGAGGUACAUCAGUGCUAUAACAUAAUUGAUUCGGAAUGAAAUAGCCCACUUUUAGAUGAAAAAAAGGGAAAAAUUUCGUCAGGAACCAAGUUGGAUUUUCUUUAUGUUAAGUUAUGAGUUUUUUCUUUCUUACAUUUAAUUUUUCAGUUUAAUCUUUUUAUUUCUUUUUUCCUUUAAAGUUAGAUCUAACAUUCACUUUUUUUCUUAGUUAUGAAGUUUAUGUUUUUAGUGUUGCUUUUAAUUUGUAAGUUAGUACUAUUAACAUUUUCACCUCUUCUACUUCAAUAAGAAGUUUAUUUGUGCUCUCUUUUUAUUUAAUUCUCCUUGUUUAACAAACAUUGAGACAUUGAUUUGCCACUGCAGCACUUAAUUUUUUUGUUGAUUUCAUUUUUUUCAAAACUUUAAGAUUUUGGCUUCUCUAUGGUAUGCUCUCUUAAUUUCUUUUUGUAAUAUAGCCUCAACCUGAGCUCCAUGCCUUGACCAAUUACAAAUUACUGAAUGGUUGGGUUAGGUUAGGAUAUAUGUAAUAAUUUAGUCUAAUUUAGAACACUUUAUUUAGAGAAUCAAAAUGUGAAAUAACAAAACAGAAUGAGGAAUGUGAUUAUUGUGCGGCAAGGUUUUCAACUUAGUAUUGCUUUUUUGAUUAACAUAUUACGAAUUAAAACUACAAGAUCUAGUCCCAAGCUUAUGAUAAAUUAUAUUCUUUUUUAAAUGGUCUCAACAUUUGGCCUCAGUGAAGGGGGAGGUUAACUCUUGCCGAUGCAGUUCUCUCAAGUAUCCCCCUCUAUUAUUUAUUUGUUUCUAAAUGCCCGACAAAGGUUGUGAAAAGUCUUGAGAGGAUCAUUGGAGAAUUCUUUGGAAGGAGCUAACCUUGAAGUGGGAUCCCACUUUGGGAAAUGGGAUAUUUCUUCUAUGCCUAUUUUGGAAGGGGGUUUAGGAGCUACUAGUUUGAAGCUAGAAACACAGCAUCCUUGCAAAAUAUGGGUGGUGGUUCAUGAAUGAAAAGAUUUUCCUAUGAAGGAACCUUAUAUGGCUCUCAUUACCUAAAGCUGGGCUCGUAAAUUCAAAGGUUCUUCAGUCUUCAUUGUUAAGAGUUGCCUUGUUUCUGAGGUGGCAUAAGAUUGAAAUUGGUAGAGGCAUUCCUUCCUUUUCGGAAGAAAAUUGGCUUUCAUCCCAGCUAGCUUGGACUUUCCCAGGCUAUUUGCUCAGCCUCUUUGUCCAGUUUAGAAGGAAAUUGGUUGAUGCUGAAAUCGAGGAUGCACUUUGCCUAACCUCCUCUAUUCCCUUUUCUCAAUGACAGAGAAGACAAGAUUUGGCUGCUUGAAGAACAUGAAACUUUCCAUAUAAGCUCCUUGGUCCCUAAGGUCUUGGCCGACCAAGCUGGUAUGUCAUGUGUAAACUGAGCCGGGUUUUCCUGUGGAUUUUUUUCUCUCUUCAAAGGUUGAAUUCAUGCUGUGAGUUGUUGGAAAGAAAACUUUAUAUGUUUUUGUCUCCCUUUUUUAGCUGGUGUGCCAUGUGCAAACAAUAAACAUGGGGAGGAAGAUCAAGGCCAUCUCUUAUUUGGUCGUUUCUUUCUUCUGGUUGCUGAGUUAGACUCCUCAAGUCUGUCAAUACAUGUCAGGCUUUCUCAAUAACAGCGCUGAUGUCUUCUUCCAGGUUCCAGCUUAUUGCUGGUGGUCCCUUCAAAGAUAAAAUUGGUAUCUUAUGGUCAUUGGGAAGGCUAUUGUUUGAAAGGAAUGCUAAAAUGAAAAAUCUUCAAUGGAGAAGAGACAAGCUGGGAAUUUCUUUUGUUCCUCUCAACGUCUUCCUGCCAAGUACUUUUAUAGUUAUCUUUUAGCUAAAAUUUUCACCAACUGUGCAAUUGGGAAGGCUUCUUGUAAACCCUUGGUGUGGUGGGAAUAUUUCAUCUCCCCUCUCCUUUUAUAUUUUUUAUAUAUCUCAGUUUCUCAUUAAGGAAAAGAUACAUUUGUUUUCAAAGAGUAUUUCCAAAUUCUCCUCAAAAUGUAUAGACUUGGUUAACAAUCUAAAGAGAUAAUUGGUAAACUGAAAACUUAGUACUGAAUUAUUAAGAUAUAAGGAAGAGAAUGGUUACAAAAUUCCCAUACCAUUUGAUACUAUGAGACUCGGUGCCUAUAUCAUUAUCUAAAUAGUCACGUAACUUAGGGUCGGCAGGCCCCCUUGAGCUUCCUUGGAUACUUGAACUUAAUCUAAGAUGCACUAACUCUAUCACAAUCUUAUGUAAGUUGCUACUAAUUUUGCAAAUCCUCAGUUUUCCCAUAGAAUUAAAUAAUUUAAGCCUCUUAUCAUAGUGAUUGAUUUGUAUUUGUCAAAAGUACAGAUGUUGAUGUUCCAUCAUUCCCAAAGUGCAAAAGUACUAGUAAAGCUAAAGAAGGUUAUUCCUACUCCAACUCUCUUUCCAAUACCUCGAGAGAUAUUGAUCCCAGUGGUAGCGCAUUCCUGAGGACAAAUUGGCAGAUGCAAGGUUACUUAGAUGCACAAGCUGAAAAAAUUGAGAAGUAAGAGUAAAUAGUACUUAGUUGGAACUUGGAAGCUCUUUCUUUGGGGCAUUUUUGUGGGCUUGGCUAUGUUUGUAUGCCCUUAUAUUCUUUCAUUUUUUUUCUCAAUGAAAGUAGUUGCAUAAUCAACCCAGAAAAUGUUGUUCCUUGCUACAACACUAAUCAGCUUUUUAAAAUUGGUGCAGGUUUGGAAGCUUAUUUUCUCUCAAUGCUUUUGAAUUGGUCCUCAAACAGCUCCAAAAAAUGGCACCGGAACUUCAUCGAGUAAUUGGAUCUUUUUCCUUUUAUGUUCAUGAUUAUUUAUUCUAUUAGAUUCCAUUUAACAUUUAAUGCGGUGCUUAUCUCUUUGUUGUGCUGAUGCAGGUUCACUUCCUGCGUUAUUUGAACACCCUUUAUCAUGAUGAUUAUUUUUCUGCUUUAGAAAAUGUCCACCGGUAUUUUGACUAUAGGUAAGUGGCUAACCAUACCUUUUCCUUUCAUACGUUGGUUGGUGAUUUCCCAAGCCGAUAUGGAUACCCUUUCUCUGAAUGAAGAGAUAUGCAUUUUCAAAUAUUGUAAUAUGGAGAACUAUUAUCGAUAAAACGAACAUUUUCUUUCACAUUUCUCUUCUAUUAUCUUUUCUCAACUUCUAGCCUCUAGACUUCUGGGGGAUGGGGGAGAAAGUUAUAAAUGUUAGGGAGUUUCAACUAUUAAAAAGGGUGUGAUGUGUGUGUGUCUUGGUGGGGGUCGGGGGAAUUUAUCAAACAACACUUAGAACAACUCAAGGACACAGUUGCCUAUAGAAUAGAUCCUGUUCAAGUAAGUUCUUAACAUUUGAUUACUAUGUCUGAACUUUUUUCUUAUUGUUUUCCCUUGAUUUUGUCCACAAAAGUGCAGGGACUGAAGGAUUUGAUUUCAUCCCUCCUGGAUCUGGCUGCAACAGCUUUGGAAGAUAUGAAAUUGCUUUAUUAUGUUUAGGGAUGAUGCACGUUCACUUUGGUCAUCCAAAACAAGCUUUAGAGGUCAGUUUUUCUUUUCUACCAAUUACCACGAUUCAGUUCUCCUCUCUAAUCAUGAGGUUAGAAUUUUGGAAAAUGAAAAUUUCUUGUUGCUCUAGUUAAUUAAUUGUUCUUCAUUCUGUUUUUGGAUAAUUGUCAGGUUUUGACUGAAGCAGUCCAUGUAUCGCAACAGGUAAGUUUUGUAUGCAAUUACAUUGUACUAAUAUGGAGGAAAAUGAACUUGGAGCUCUAGAAAUCGAACUAAUGCUUUUCUUUCCAAUGAUUUUGGAGUCAUUAUCUUAAUCUUUAGCUGCUCUAUAUUAGGACAGAUAUUAAAACCCAUGAUCAUUGCUAAACUUUGAAUUUGAUUUUUUUUACUAUUGAUUCUUUUUUUUUUAUCAAUAUUCUUUACAGCAAAGCAACGAUACUUGCCUCGCAUAUACCUUAGCAGCUAUAGGGAACUUAUUAUCUGAAAGUGGUUUCUCACGCACUAGUGGUAUACUUGGGUCAUCCUAUUCACCUUUAUUGAGCAUGGGAAUUUCACUAUCUGUCCAGCAACAAUUGUUUGUGCUUUUGACGGAAUCACUAAGAAGAGCAGAAAGUUUAAAGCUGAAACGAUUAGUAGCCUCCAACCAUCUUGCUAUGGCUAAGUUUCAUUUGAUGGUAAAUAUGGGUACAACUCUGCAUUUUAUAAAAUCUUUCCGAUAAUGUAUGUUUAUUUUUACACUUGUGUGUGCAUAGUUUCCCCCCCCCUGAAGAUUAGUAAUUGCGUAUUAACAGUUCACUUCAUGUUUCUGCCUUCAUGACUUUCAGAAACCAAAAGAACCACCCAAAAAUUCAAAUACAAAACCACUUUAACCAAGACAACAAAAGCUGACCCAAGCCGAAUAACUGAAGUGUUAGUACUUUAAAACUAAUAAAUCUGAAUUGACCGUCCUACUUAGCCAAACUAACUAAAUUGUAUUCUUUAUGUUUGCAACCACACUGGAAUAAUUCUGAACGGUAAGGAAAUUAAAGUAGACAUAGAGUGGUUUAAGUUAUUUCUUUACGAGUAGAUUCUCAACAUUUGUGGGAUUGGCUACUGGAAUUUGAGAUUGAGAUGAAAUCAAAGAGAUUCAGAAAUUGAUCAAUUUGGAACUCUCAUUCAAUGCUUGUCACGAUUUCCUUAUCCCAUAGUCCUGUCAAAGGAUUAUGGAAGGUAGAACGUAAUGGUAUCUUCUCUAAUAGUUUGUUUUGACAGCUUAAGAAAUUGACAACCCUCCCCCCUUCCCAUGUGCAAAUAUUGAUAGAUGAUUUAUUGCUUUACUCAUAACCUCACUGUUUAAUGCGUGAAGUUGUAGUACUCUUGUAUUUGUUAGACUUAUGCAAGAAGAAAGUCAGGAUAUCGUAUUUAAUCAUUUGUUGGUUACUGUUAAGUUCACAUGCUUUAGUUUCUUCAUCGCUAAGUGGGGAGUAUUUUUUUUCUGAUCUACAGCAACUGUAUGGAUCCUUUAUACCUAUCUGCUGUGACUGAAAAUAAAAUCAGUGUUUGAAGUGUUUGAUUGGAAUGGAAAUUUUAACCGCAUGUUGAACGUACUGAGAGAGCAGGGAAAUCUUUUUAUUCAUUAAUUAUUGACGGGUUGUAAAUUGUUUGCAGCAUGUGCAAAGACCUCUUCUAUCAUUUGGUCCGAGAGCUUCUGCAAAGCUUAGAACUUCUCCAAUAAGUGUCUGUAAGGUAAUGCCGAACAGGAUGACUAUCUUUCAUUGUUUCCAUAAUUAAAUACUAUGUUGAAAUUAUUAUUUUCAUUUUUGAUUUAUUUCUCAAGUAGGAAAAAGGGAUCAUCUUCAUUGUAGAUUUAUGUGGAGUAUCUAUAUGUAUUAGGGAGUUAUUUUCUAUUCUUUUCUGAUACUUGCAUUUAAUUCUUAUAGGAGCUAAGGUUGAGUACUCAUUUAAUUUGUCAAUACGGCACUGAAAGUUCUACAAAGACAACAGAUGGAUCCUUCAGUACUGCAUGGCUUACGAAUUUACAAAAGCCUGCAGGUUCACAUGUAUUGUGCAGAGACAAUGAAUCAGGGAAUAACUCCAGUGAAUUACCAUUUUUUGCACAACCCACCUCAAUUCCUGGAUCUGUCUUACAGUUAUUAGGCUCUUCGUACUUAUUACGAGCAACUGCAUUUGAGAUAUAUGGCAGGUGAUCUUGAGAAGAUUCUCUUUUUCAUAUAGUUCUUUUUCAUGUGUAGAUAUAUAUUUUUGGACAAUUUAAUAUGAACAACUAAACUAAGCAAUUAUUUGUAGAUUAUUUGUUACGGACAUAACAUUUCAUAUAAAGGGGGAAUACCAUAGAAUUCUUUGUUUGGUACUUGUACUACAUCUGUAUGUUUAAAAAUGGGGCACUUGCUUUACUGUAAAAUGCCUUCUCUGAUGUGAGUUACUUCAUGUUUUCUUUUCAUUAGCCACUCGAUUGUCGAUUAUAUACAGGACAGCUUAUUUUUAUAUUUUGUAUCCAUUUGGUUUGUGCUCCAAAAUGCAUGUUUGAUAUGGGAUAAACAUUUUUUUUUUAAAUACUGCAUGUUACUGUUGAAACCGGUGUAAAUAUUUUAUGUUGGGUGGCUUCUUUUGUUGACCCUACCUCCUACUACUGUCUGGAGAGAGAAAGUCAUCUCAAUGUCUUUUUUAGGCAAGAAUAGCUCUCUGAGUAAUAGUCGAAAUGUUUCAUGAGGAAUAGCACAUUCUUAAAGGGAAUCAUGUUAUUAUUCUAUGUUCUAACAGUAGUUCCCUUACUCUUGAGCCAAUUUUUGAAUCACUCUCACGUUUGUUUUUAGAGUUUUGCAAAUGCUUUCUUUCAUUCUUUUUAAUGAAAAAUGAAAUUCUGAUUUCUUAUUAGAAAAAAGUUACAGUCCUGUAGGUCAAUUUGCUAUACUGAGAAUAUCAUCUCUGCUCUUGUACUUUUAUUUUUAACUACUGUUUGUAAUUGGAAUUUAAUUUUAGCUAUCUAUGUGUUAUUUUAAUUUUUCUCUUACGGGUUUUUCCCCAAUCCCUCGAAAUAAUAAUUGAGCUUGCAAUUGUUUUACUGCCUGACCAUUUUUAUUCCCUGGCCCUCUCAGUGCUCCUCUUGCACGAAUAAAUGCCAUUCUUUAUGCAACUUGUUUUGCAGACACAUCAAGGUAAUUUCUAACUUAUAUGGGUAUUUUUUAGUAUUGAAUAUCUCUAAGAUAUUAUAAAUUAUUCUAGACUAAUCUUAUUGUAAGAGCUUUCGUUUCUUUUAUGGGAACAUACAGUUCAUCUGAUGCAUCAUUAGCGUACGUGAAACUCAUACAACAUUUGGCAAUUUUUAAAGGAUAUAAAGGUCAGGGAAAAUGCUCUCAUGACACAUUUCAUUUACUAUUUCUCUACCUGCAAUAUGACACCAAGUUACUAUUAUGUCGGUGAGGUAGCUAGCUUAGCCACUUGUCAUUUCAUUCCUUAUUAAUCUCAUGAUCAUAAUAUUUGUUAUUAUUUAUUCUUUUCUAUGCUGCUUGGCUUUAUGUAUUUUGGCUUUCAUCACUCCUUUUGUUGUCAAGGAGUUCUGUAAAAUAAGUAACGUCUUGAAAGAUUUUCCAAGGAUAUCUUAUGUUUUUUGCAUGUGAAAUUUCUGCUAUUAAAUUACGUGAAAGCGAGUACUUUUUUGUGUAACACCAUAUCUUGAUAGAAUGUUUCUUCAACGUUUCAAUAUUUUUUUUUUUUUUGAAAAGGAGACAAGCUUCUUUAUUAUUAAUAAACUCAAUGUACAAUAGAGCUAUACAAUGAGAAUAACAGAGAAGCCAAGAAAUGGGGAAGAGAGAGAGAUAGAUAGAGCAAGGAUCAGUAGGUGCACCCAGACAUCUCAACUAGGUUGACAACCCUAAACCCUAAACCCAAAAUACAAAGAAAAGACCAAAGUACAAAAACAAUACUAAAGUCAUAAAAAGAUCAAAGUAACAACCAAAAUUACAACAGAAGCUACCUACGGUAGAUAAAAGCAAGGCUGAAAAGUAAAAACAUAACGGCAGAAAUUCAUAUCCAAACUACAGAAGCACUACACGUUUCAAUAUUUUUAGAUAGUAUUCUGUUAACUGUUAAGAAAGAACUUUUCAACAGUUAAGCCGGGCUGUCAGCCUUGUUAUAUAUGUGUUUAGGGUAUUAUUAUUUGUAACAUGGCUAUGCUGUUCAUCCCAAUCUGCCUCUUUCACGGGAUCUAUCUCUUCCAGGGGUGGAGGUUGGAGCCAUAAUCUUUCAAUUUUGGAAGUUAGUGGAUAAAGUGAGGGGGGCUUCCUCUUUUGCUAUAUACCUGACCGGCCCCACAAUUUGAUUGCACGUGCACCAACAAACUGACACUGGAACAUGCACUUCCCUACCUUAAAAUAUGGUUGUCAUGAUUUAUAACUCUGUUUUUUUCUUUAACAGAGGCUUUUUCUGCACUUAAAAUAGCAGAGGAGAGGUUUUUAUCCCUCUCGAAGUCAAGGAUUUUACUACUAAAGUUACAGCUCGUUCACGAGCAUGCUCUACACAGGUAGUCUAUAGAAAUAUGAUGAAUAUUUAUGGUUUGCAUAGUAACAUUGCUAAGUUUCUCGUGUUCUUCUAUCAGAGGUUGUUUGAAGCUUGCCCAGCAGGCUUGUAAUGAACUUGGAGUUUUGGCCUCAUCUGUUACUAGUGUGGAUUUGGAUCUGAAGACAGAGGCUAGUUUUCGUCAUGCUCGGACGCUGCUUGCAGCAAACCAGUUCAGCGAGGUUUAAACUCCAUUAAAACUAAGUUGAUGUUUUCUUGUUUGGAUGUGCGUAAAUAGUUCUGUUUCAUUUAAUUGUGGGAACAUAUCAUAUUAUUUUGUUGCAUCUAAAAGUGAGUAGGAACAAGCGCAUGAUCUUCUAGAGUUACGAGGUAAGACAGAUGAAAAUAGAACUAAGAUCUAGUUCAUAUAGUUGAUGAUUGAGAUGAUGUACGUUUUAAUGUUCGGUGUUCAGGAGGGUAAUAUUCUUUCAAUUUGUUUGCCGAAGGGACAAGGGACAAGGGAGUCAAUUUCUAGAUUUUUUUUCUCCCUAACUCUUCUUACAAAUGACUAUUAUUGUUAUAUUAUUUAUGCAGGCAGCACGUGUAGCACACUCUCUUUUCUGUUUGUGUUAUAAAUAUAAUCUACAGGUCCAGAAUGCUUCGGUUCUUCUUCUGCUGGCUGAAAUACACAAGGUAAACUUAAAGAUAUAAUGUAGGUAAUGAGAACCAAGGCUUAUGUUGGCUGAAGAUUGUGUGGUUUCUAUAUGACACAUAUCCUUCCGUCUUGCCUGUUUGAUUUGGAUAUCUCAUGACACAUGUAGUAAAAUAACUGGGGCAACAAAAGACAAAAUGGAAAAGAUAGUAAAGGAUCCUUGAUAGCUAGCUAAGGGCACUGAUUUUAUUUCUAAUUCAUCUCUAAAAAUUUGCUUGCUUAUUAUCUUUUUGGAAUAAGAAGGAAAUUCUAAUUUCCUGUGUCAUGUACGUUCAUUUUCCUUUCAUUAGCCUCCAGUAUUGAAGUUUUUAUUGCCCUCCCCCUCCAGAAAUCGGGAAAUGCUGUUGUAGGUCUUCCUUAUGCUUUGGCAAGCCUUUCCUUUUGCCAGUCAUUUAACCUUGAUCUCCUAAAAGCAUCAGCCACUCUGACAAUUGCUGAGUUAUGGCUCUCCCUUGGACCUAGCCAUUCAAAAAGGGCUUUGAAUCUUUUACAUGGAGCAUUCCCGAUGAUUCUUGGUCAUGGAGGUUUGGAGCUCCGAGCUCGUGCUUUUAUAGUGGAAGCAAAAUGCUACCUCAGUAGUCCAACCUUUUCAGGUACUCCAGUUAUGGUUUUGAUCGUUCUUAUGAAAUUCUUACCUGCAAUAUUUAUUUUUUUCCCCUUAUAGAAUCAGUCUCUUCUAAAUUAAAGGGAACAUACGGGAUAAUAUUACUUCAGUAUGAACCACUUAAAUAUAUUUCAACUGUCCAGUUUUAUUAAUAAAAGCAUUGUUGUUUUAUAAAGCUAAAUCUCAUAGUGGAAAAUGUUCAAUAGAGGUUGAAAGUCAGUAGCUUUCCUCUCUAUACAAUCAAUUAUGUUGAUUAAGGCCACAUUCAGUAAUCAUUUGGGUUUUGGUUUUUAAAAAUUAAAUUCAUUUCCUCUCUUUUUAUUUAUUUGAUUUAUUAUGGUUUUUUAUCUUUCUUAGUUAAAAAGGUUGAAUUCUUAGCCAAAUUCUAAACACAAAAACAAACUCUUAAAAACUUUGCUUGAUUUUUUUAAUACACUGGUAAAAAGUUGAUAAUAAUGCAAGAAAUUUAGGAGGGGCCAAAAUCUUCCGCACUUUUAAUGUGUUGAACAUUUUAAACGUCUUAGAUAUUUGAACUUUGAACGUUCCUGUAUACGAUCUUGAAUAUUUGAAAAAAUGAAUUUACUUCUGGUUGAAUUUCAUCAUGAACAGUUUCUGAAGAUCCGGAGGUCGUGCUGGAUCCUCUGAAGCAAGCGUCAGAAGAGCUUCAGUUAUUGGAGGUAUGUUCUUAAUCACAACAGGAUCCUCUUGGAAAUCUCUUGAUCGAGUUUUCGUCUCUGUUCCCUUCUGGAUGUGUCAAAAAGACAUGUUCUUGUAGUGCCAUGUUUGGAAAUAUUGAAUUUACAGGACUUGGGCUUGACAAUUCUUUCAUUACACUGAGGAAUAUCAAAGAGAUAUAAUCAGUAACUUAAACAGAAGAUUUGGGUUUGAUUUUCAAUUCUGUCAUCAGGAAAGCCUUAUCGAUCAACUUCUUAUAUCACUUUGGUCCUUGUACGGUUGUACUUUCAAAAUAUUCCAUUUCGUCCCUCUAGUUUUAAAAAAUAAACGAGUAUUAUAUAGUCUCAAUCUUUUUUUCCCUAAACUUUAUGUUUAAAAUUUGGAACUUAUGACCAGAUUGGUGAUCAAAAUGGACAUACGGAGAGUUUAAAGAACAAAUUGAGCAAAAUUUGGAAGUAUAGUGACUAGAUUGAACAUUUUAGAAGUUCAUAGAUCAAAUUGAACAAAAGUCAAAACUACAGGAUAAAGUAGUAUUUAAACCUAUUUUAUGUCCAUGUUAUUGAUCAGAAGAUCCUCUGUUUGUCAGUAUCAUGAAAUGGCAGCUGAAGCUUUCUAUUUGAUGGCAAUGGUAUACAACAAAUUGGGGAGGCUUGAGGAAAGGGAAGAAGCAGCAGAUUCUUUCAAGAAACAUAUUGUGGCCCUCGAGAAUCAUGAGGAAGGAGAAAGUUCUUUGCUCAAUAUAUCAUGAAAAUAAGUACUAUGCUUAAUGCUAUUUUUGUAUAUAUUUAUGUUUAUUUUCUUACACCAUUUUGUAUUUCUUCCUUUUUUAAAAAACUUUUUUUCUUCCAAAAUUUCACCUCAGAUUUACAGUUUCUGACAAUUAGCACAGUUUAAUUUCCACAGUGGCAAGAAAAAAAGAAUCGUUUGUAUGAAAGUACUAACACAUCCAUUAUGUAUUUUAUGAAGUAUUCACAUACAUCUUCGUUAAUAUAGAUAAAUCAGUAGAGGUUGGGAGUAGCUGUGGAAGUAUGGACCAUAAAAAAUGGGGAAAAAGAAAAGAUUUUCUGACCAAAUUUGACUGAUUGUAAAGAGAUGAUUCAGAUGUUUAUUACAAACACAGACAUCAUUGAUGAAUACAAAUAUGAAAUAGAAAUUCAUGUCCACUGCUUAUAACUGAGAGGAUAGAGGAUAGAAUUUUCAAUCUUAAAGAAAAGAAGUUACAAUAAAUAUCGUCUUAUGAAAUGAGUUAUGUUAAAUAUCGUUAAUUUUAAAGGAAAUGAGUUAUGUUAAAUAUUGUUGAGUUAGAACUUAGUUAUGGUAAAUAUCGUUGAGUUAGAACUUUCAAUUUUUAAAGAAUCUCGUUGAGUUAAUUUCAUUUUAUUCAUAGGUUGAAAUCAUGUUUUAUUGGUAGGUUGAAAUCUGACAUUUUUUCAUGUCAUUAAAGUUAAUCUAUUACAAUUUUUUUUCUUGGAAUCAAAAGUAAAUUCAAUCUUUUUCACAAGUUUUGUACAAACUGUUAUAAUAGCUGUUUCAAGUUUUGUUGGAUAAACAGUAGAUAGUAAGAAAUCUAGAGGUUGAAGAAGUCUUCGUAGACUUAAGUUUUUAUUUUGAAAUAGUUCUGAAACGAAGUUUAGUACGGUGCAUCUAUAUUUGACUAGUUUUUCCAAUAAAGAAAUGAAACUUGGAGGUGGUUUCAUUAUUUUGGAGCAUUGGCGUGUUGAUGUUCUCAUCACUCUAUCCCCACAAAAUCAAACUUAUUUAUAACAUAUCUAUUUAUUUGGGUUUGGAAUAAUUAGUUUGACCUUGUCUUUAACAUUAAUAUUAUUCUAUUGAAUAACCCAUUAUACUUUAAUCUUAUACAUUAUAAUCAAUUUAAACAAUAUUUUAAAAAACUUUAUACAUGUAUGUACACAUCAUUUCAACCUUUCUUAAUUUGUAGGAAAUUCCUUAGUUUCUUACCAAUAACGUGAUCAAUAUCAUAGACUUUGACAAAAAAAGUCGACCAAAUAUAUAUAUAUAUAUUUGUAGAGGUUGAUGCCACAAGAGUUAAUAUCCACAUGGAAUUUUUUUUAGUAUGGAGUAGGUGGUUGCAUUUGGAAAAACUUCCAUUUCUGUCUUUGAAUAAUAACUCUGAUAUUAAGUGGAGAUGAGGGAAUAAUAUUACCCUAAUUAUAGAAGCUGCCUGUUCAUUGAAAAAUAUCUAUCUUUUUAUUUCCUUUAAAUUAAAGGAUGGAGAUUAAUUAGCAGAUGUAUAAACAUAUUAUAUUAUAGAAGAAAACAUAUCUAUAGUAUAGGGGAUAUCCCACAUCUACCUCUUUCAAUCUUUACAUAUUAUCCAUUCCUACUUCCUCCUCACCUCAAUUAGUUUUCAUCUUAUUUUAAUGAAAAAAAAAAGCAACAAAGAGUAUUUAUCUUAAACGAAUUAUCAUAGGUAUGUGUGAUUAAAAUCAAAACCUUUCAAAGUUUAGGGGAAAUAAUUGAAAAACCUACCUACCACAAACUAGUAUAGUAUUUCGUAUAAUUUUCAAUCUAUUUUAAAGAAUAAUAAUCUUUUUUUAGUUAAGCAAUUAUUACAAGAUUGUAGAUCUCCAAACCAUGGACAUUCAAGAUAAUAAUGGAGUGUUUUAUACUAGAAUAAAUAAUAGCUUAUGUCAAGUAAUUGACUAAGAAUAGAAAAUAAAAAACUGACAGUGUGUUAACUACGUGAUUAGGCUUAAGGGUAAAGAGGAAAUACUUUAAUAUAAAGGGAAUAAUUUAGAAUGGGAAAAGCAACCGUAUAGAAAUAUGAAAGAAUUUAUAUAUAUUUUUUGACGUCUGUACUUGAUCAUUCUUCAAAAAGCCAAAUAACUUAUUCAAGACAUUCCAACCGUUUAUUUAGAAUCGAAAAGAUUGUAGGGAGGAAAUCACACUCAAAUAAUGAUCCUUCUUCCCAUAUUUUCCUAGAAAUUAAAAUGAAACUCCCAACCCAAUUAGAAUAAUAUUUGGUUUUCUCUCAAGACUUAUUCAUCAUUUUAAUUCUCACUAAUUAAUUAAUUAAACUUCCUCAUCACUCAAUCAUUUAAUUUUCGUUUUGACUUUUUUUUUUUUUUUGGAUUUGGUAUUCACCAUUUGAUAUAAAAGGCAAAGAACAAGUUCUGAAGAGAGUACUUAAUUGUAAUUUAGUUUGAGUGUUAUUAAGAUCGUGAUAAUUUUGGAAGGAGAGACAUGAAAACUUAUGCCAUCGUUCUUAUAGCCGGGGGGUCUGUGAUAGGGGCUGUGAUGAUUUUAUGGUGUGUUUGUAAGUUCGGAAGAAGUCGUAAAAAGAAGACAAUUACAUAUAAUAUGCCCAAACGCACUCCACAAAGGAACCUUGACAUUGAACGUGGCCAAUUACCUAAGAACAAUAAUAACGGUGGGAUGACUAUUCUCGGUGGAGCAGCUGCGGGUUUAGCUACAGCUGCUGUUGUAACCACUUUAAGCAGCAGUGGUGGUGGAGGUGGAGGUGAUUCUGGUAGUGGUGGUGAUGGCGAUGGCGGUGGAGGUGGCGGCUGCGGAGGUGGCUGUGGCGGCUGCGGAGGUGGAUGUGGAGGUGGCUGUGGAUGAGGUGGAGGUUGAUAUAUAAGUGAUCAACAGAAGCUAUUCAUACACACUACAUGACAAUAAGCUAAGUUUGAUGUAGAAGUGUUUUAGUUUUUAUACUCUUUCUUUCUCUAAUAAGAAAAUAGGUGUGUGUAUAUACAAUUUGGAACAGUACUUAAAUGUUCUAUAUACUGGAGCUUCGCUCAUCUUUGUUCAAUUGGGUAUUCCAAUUGCACAACAAAUAAACUGUCACAUGCAGUAAACUGUACUUAGUUGCAUGUACGCUUUAGAUAAUGGAGAUGUAAAAAAACUGAUACAGCGCCUAAAAGAAUGCACUUCACUAUUUCUCUUUAUUUUCUAGUUAAUUAAUUUAGGUGUUUUAGACAUAUGGCUUUGUAGAGUGUGGUAUUGAGUCGACAAUUAUAAUUAUUUCCCCCAAUUGGUCAUUUCAACUAUCAAUAUGAUUAAAAAUCACAUGUUUAGUCCAUAAUUCAACUUUGAUAUAUGUUAUGGUUGAUUUUGGAUUGAAAAGUUACCUAAAGAAAAGCAUAGAAACGAGGACAAGAACGUAAUUCAUGAUUAUAUAAUAAAACUCUAACAUUAUAUAUAACAAUAAGUGUCAAGAUGUUUGAACUAGAUGAUUUUACAAAUUAAACUAGAUAAAGAAUCAUAUACCUUAAUCCAUGAAUCAUCUUCUAAAGGAUUGUGUUUCUCUCACUUCUUCUUUUAAUCUUAAUUUUAGUUUCUUGAUGGAAAGAAUAAACAACUUAAUAAAGGCGGUAAGAAGACCAAUUCCUAAGGUUCUAUUUAUAGACAUUACCGAUGAUGGUGUUUAAUUAGGGCAUUAUCUUUUUACCUAAUUGGCCUAAUAAAAUAAUAGACCCAAAAGAGAUAAAAUAUGAUUGAUAUAAUACAUAUGGGCUACAUUAAUAAUAUUAUAUUUAAAAAUAAAUCUAACAUUCUCUCAUUUGGCUCAUUGACAUAAUUUAUCAUAUACGUUUAUAGACAUAAUGCGAAAAAUUGAACUUCAUAACAUAUCAUAUUAAGUCAAAGAAACUACUAAGGAAUCAUGACGGUUAUACAUCAUUGCAUUAACAUACUCCCUUUCAUAUAUCACUGAAAUAGUUCUUCUAUUAACAUGAUCUAUAAUAAAGAUAAUCAAUAACAGUCCAACAAUAAGUGUUUUUAUCAAAGACGAUGUUAUGUUUAACAUCUUUAAUUUAUGUAGAUACUAACCAUAAGAACAUAACCAUGCGAUAAAA